rnacentral:lncRNA from 1 species
UAAGAUUUGUAGUAUUUAUGGUUGUUGUCUGGUAAAAUUUGUGAGUGGUAUAGAACUAAUAGAAUGUUUUUAUUUUGGUUGUAAUUAAUUUUUUAUUAAUAAACAUAAAUAUACUCUAUUAUUACCAAUUAAUUAUAAAUUCUAUAAAUAAUAAUUAAUUAAUGUUAAUAUAAUGAACACUACUACCGAUAAUUAAAAAUACUAUUAUAC